AACGAUAUUUAUUUUCCAUUUGAAAUGCUAAGGUGCUAACCCAAUCGAGCCGGACAGCACCACCGCAGGACACACAGUCGGCAAUAUCUGCAGUGAUGUGGGUGGCGGCGAAGCUAUCGUACGAGCCUCUUCUGCGAGUGCCGUUUUCAUCACCUAACUAUGUGCAAUUGAAGGUGUCCACAAUUUCAACUAUGAAGGUGAGGAACUUUCAGAGCUCAAUUAUCUGCUCUGAUUCUACCAAUUCCACGGCGGUUACUUCGUCCUCUCCACCGAUGACGGUAAAUAAUGCUCCUCCGGUUCUGAAGAAGCGAAAGAGGUACAGAAAGCUUUACCCUGGGGAGAGCACAGGAAUCACUGAAGAGAUGAGGUUCGUCGCUAUGAGACUCCGUAACAUCAAUGGCAAGAAAUACUCUGACGACGAUAAUAGUUCCGACGUUGCUGACAAUAGCAACAGCUUAGAAACAUCCAAUGGCGAAGAUAAUGGCAGUGAAGAUGAAACGUGGCAGCCUAGUAUGGAGGGAUUGCUCAAGUAUCUGGUUGAUAGCAAGCUCAUUUUUACCACCGUCGAACGUAUCGUGGAUGAAUCCACAGACGUUUCUUAUGCCUACUUCAGGAAGAAUGGGUUGGAGCGAUCGGAAAGCCUGUCAAAAGAUCUGGAAUGGUUUGGCCGACAAGGAUUUAUGAUUCCAGAUGCCAGCUCUCCAGGGCUUUCUUAUGCUAAAUAUCUGGAGGAACUUGCUGAGAAUAAUGCUCCAUUAUUCCUCUGUCAUUUGUAUAAUAUAUAUUUUUCACAUCUUGCUGGUGGUCAGGUGAUAGCAAGAAAGGUUUCUGAAAAGCUCCUGGAGGGGAAGGAGCUGGAGUUCUAUAGAUGGGAAGGAGAUGCAUCAGAAUUCCUGAAAGGGGUCCGGGAGAAGCUAAAUAUGCUUAGCGAGCAUUGGACUCGAGAUGAAAAAAACAGAUGCUUAAAAGAAGCAACGAAGUCAUUCCGGUUUCUGGGGCAGAUUGUUCGUCUGAUCAUCUUAUGAGCAGUUUUCUGAUACUUCAAUUAACAGCAGUGACUUGAUUCUCACUGAUGACAAUUGAAAAGAACCAAUUAUAUACAGUGCACUACAUUUAAGGGCUUGAGUCCAUCCCAGGCUGAAGAGAACGAGAUAACUGGAGAGGCCCAUUAGCUGGGUCCUGCUGAGCUGUGGCUGCCCUCCAUUUGCUGGGAUACCUUCUCAGAUAGCUCAACUGCUCUGCAUCUAUUGGCUCUCCAUCCCAAUCAGGGUCUAGUUUCCACUCCUUUGGAACCUGCACUUGUAAAAUGGCAUGCCAGUUUCAUAAACCGAAGAAAGCAUAUCAAAUUCCCACCACAAACUCAAAAAAAAAAAAAAAAAGUAGUAAGGUAACAGAAUUUAGAGCUGGUCAUUAUCAUCGUGUUUUAGAAGCUUAAAUUAGGUAUCAUUCGCACGAGAGUGACACCAGUUAAGCAAACUGUGGCUCAUUAGAAAUGUCCAUCUUAUACACCUAGCGACUCUUGUGCAUCAUUCACCUAAGUUUCGAGCAAUAACACUCAACUUGUGUUGCUACUAA